AGCAGCCGCGGUAAUUCCAGCUCCAAUAGCGUAUAUUAAAGUUGUUGCAGUUAAAAAGCUCGUAGUUGAAUUUCGGGAUUGACACAUCGGUCGUGCCUUAAGGGGUGUGAACUGGUGUAGUCAAUUUCUCACCUUCUGGAGAACCGCGAUGUCCUUAAUUGGGUGCCGCGAGGAACCAGGACCUUUACUUUGAAAAAAUUAGAGUGUUUAAAGCAGGCAUUUUUGCUUGAAUACAUUAGCAUGGAAUAAUAAAAUAGGACGGCAUGAUUCUAUUUUGUUGGUUUCUAGGAUCACCGUAAUGAUUAAUAGGGAUAGUUGGGGGCAUUAGUAUUCAAUUGUCAGAGGUGAAAUUCUUGGAUUUAUUGAAGACUAACUACUGCGAAAGCAUUUGCCAAGGAUGUUUUCAUUAAUCAAGAACGAAAGUUAGGGGAUCGAAGACGAUCAGGUACCGUCGUAGUCUUAACCAUAAACUAUGCCGACUAGGAAUCAGACGAUGUUAAUUUUUUCAAUGACUCGUUUG
rnacentral:rRNA from 1 species